AUGAACGCUGGCGGCGUGCCUAAUACCUGCAAGUCGAGCGAACGGACGAGAAGCUUGCUUUUCUGAUGUUAGCGGCGGACGGGUGAGUAACACGUGGAUAACCUACCUAUAAGACUGGGAUAACUUCGGGAAACCGGAGCUAAUACCGGAUAAUAUUUUGAACCGCAUGGUUCAAAAGUGAAAGACGGUCUUGCUGUCACUUAUGGAUGGAUCCGCGCUGCAUUAGCUAGUUGGUAAGGUAACGGCUUACCAAGGCAACGAUGCAUAGCCGACCUGAGAGGGUGAUCGGCCACACUGGAACUGAGACACGGUCCAGACUCCUACGGGAGGCAGCAGUAGGGAAUCUUCCGCAAUGGGCGAAAGCCUGACGGAGCAACGCCGCGUGAGUGAUGAAGGUCUUCGGAUCGUAAAACUCUGUUAUUAGGGAAGAACAUAUGUGUAAGUAACUGUGCACAUCUUGACGGUACCUAAUCAGAAAGCCACGGCUAACUACGUG
rnacentral:rRNA from 1 species